AGUGAACGCUGGCGGCAGGCCUAACACAUGCAAGUCGAACGGCAGCACAGGAGAGCUUGCUCUCUGGGUGGCGAGUGGCGGACGGGUGAGGAAUACAUCGGAAUCUACCUUUUCGUGGGGGAUAACGUAGGGAAACUUACGCUAAUACCGCAUACGACCUUAGGGUGAAAGCGGAGGACCUUCGGGCUUCGCGCGGAUAGAUGAGCCGAUGUCGGAUUAGCUGGUUGGCGGGGUAAAGGCCCACCAAGGCGACGAUCCGGAGCUGGUCUGAGAGGAUGAUCAGCCACACUGGAACUGAGACACGGUCCAGACUCCUACGGGAGGCAGCAGUGGGGAAUAUUGGACAAUGGGCGCAAGCCUGAUCCAGCCAUGCCGCGUGGGUGAAGAAGGCCUUCGGGUUGUAAAGCCCUUUUGUUGGGAAAGAAAAGCAGUCGGUUAAUACCCGAUUGUUCUGACGGUACCCAAAGAAUAAGCACCGGCUAACUUCGUGCCAGCAGCCGCCGUAA
rnacentral:rRNA from 1 species